rnacentral:rRNA from 1 species
CGGUGAAUACGUUCCCGGGCCUUGUACACACCGCCCGUCAAGCCAUGGAAAUCGGGAGUGCCUAAAGUCGAUUGCCGCAAGGCGUCGCCUAAGGUAAAAACCGGUAACUGGGGCU